UCCUGCCCUUUGCUCUCCUGCUCUUCACUGAGUCCCGAGGCUCUGGAGGGUGGGCGUGAGGGUAGCCCUGGCGGAGGCUCGGAGGUCCUCCCGGGCUGUUCAGAGGGCCCCAAGCGGUAGCCACGUUCUGAUACUGGCUAGAAGCCAGGGGAGGGAGCUUGGGGUAAGGGGAGGGCCCUGAGGGAGGGGUCAGACGCUUUAGGAAAGAGUUAAUGCGAAGAGGGGGAGGGGAUAGGACGAAGAAACCGAAGGGAAAGCUCAGGGCCGCCAACUUCCAACUGCAGCGGCGACUUUCAGUUUCAUUUCCACGGACCCUCCUGCCUGGGCCGCAGCCGCCGCCGCGAUGCCCAGUAAGUUCAGCUGCCGGCAGCUCCGGGAGGCGGGCCAGUGUUUCGAGAGUUUCCUGGUCGUUCGGGGACUGGACAUGGAGACAGAUCGCGAGCGGCUGCGGACCAUUUAUAACCGCGACUUCAAGAUCAGCUUUGGGACCCCCGCCCCUGGCUUCUCCUCCAUGCUGUAUGGAAUGAAGAUUGCAAAUCUGGCCUACGUCACCAAGACUCGGGUCAGGUUCUUCAGACUCGACCGCUGGGCCGACGGGCGGUUCCCAGAAAAGAGGAGAAUGAAGCUGGGGUCAGAUAUCAGCAAACACCACAAGUCACUGCUAGCCAAGAUCUUUUAUGACAGGGCUGAGUAUCUUCAUGGGAAACAUGGUGUGGAUGUGGAAGUCCAGGGGCCCCAUGAAGCCCGAGAUGGGCAGCUCCUUAUCCGCCUGGAUUUGAACCGCAAAGAGGUGCUGACCCUGAGGCUUCGGAAUGGCGGAACCCAGUCUGUUACCCUCACUCACCUCUUCCCACUCUGCCGGACACCCCAGUUUGCUUUCUACAAUGAAGACCAGGAGUUGCCCUGUCCACUGGGCCCCGGUGAAUGCUAUGAACUCCAUGUCCAUUGUAAGACCAGCUUUGUGGGCUACUUCCCAGCCACAGUGCUCUGGGAGCUGCUGGGACCUGGGGAGUCGGGUUCAGAAGGAGCCGGCACAUUCUACAUUGCCCGCUUCUUGGCUGCCGUCGCCCACAGCCCCCUGGCUGCACAGCUGAAGCCCAUGACUCCCUUCAAGCGGACCCGGAUCACUGGAAACCCUGUGGUGACCAAUCGGAUAGAGGAAGGAGAGAGACCUGACCGCGCUAAGGGCUAUGACCUGGAGUUAAGUAUGGCGCUGGGGACAUACUACCCACCUCCCCGCCUCAGGCAACUGCUCCCCAUGCUUCUUCAGGGAACAAGUAUCUUCACUGCCCCUAAGGAGAUCGCAGAGAUCAAGGCCCAGCUGGAGACAGCCCUGAAGUGGAGGAACUAUGAGGUGAAGCUGCGGCUGCUGCUGCACCUGGAGGAGCUGCAGAUGGAGCAUGAUAUCCGGCACUAUGACCUGGAGUCGGUGCCCAUGACCUGGGACCCUGUGGACCAGAACCCCAGGCUACUCACACUGGAGGUUCCUGGAGUGACUGAGAGCCGCCCCUCAGUGCUACGGGGCGACCACCUGUUUGCCCUUUUGUCCUCGGAGACACACCAGGAGGACCCCAUCACAUAUAAGGGCUUUGUGCACAAGGUGGAACUGGACCGUGUCAAGCUGAGCUUUUCCAUGAGCCUCCUGAGCCGCUUUGUGGAUGGGCUGACCUUCAAGGUGAACUUUACCUUCAACCGCCAGCCGCUGCGAGUCCAGCACCGUGCCCUGGAGCUGACGGGACGCUGGCUGCUGUGGCCCAUGCUCUUUCCUGUGGCACCUCGGGACGUCCCGCUGCUGCCCUCAGAUGUGAAACUCAAGCUGUAUGACCGGAGUCUGGAGUCAAACCCAGAGCAGCUGCAGGCCAUGAGGCACAUUGUUAUGGGCACCACCCGUCCAGCCCCCUACAUCAUCUUUGGGCCUCCAGGCACCGGCAAGACCGUCACGUUAGUGGAGGCCAUUAAGCAGGUGGUGAAGCACUUGCCCAAAGCCCACAUCCUGGCCUGCGCUCCAUCCAACUCAGGGGCUGACCUCCUCUGUCAAAGGCUCCGGGUCCACCUUCCUAGCUCCAUCUACCGCCUCCUGGCCCCCAGCAGGGACAUCCGCAUGGUACCUGAGGACAUCAAGCCCUGCUGCAACUGGGACGCAAAGAAGGGGGAGUAUGUAUUUCCCGCCAAGAAGAAGCUGCAGGAAUACCGGGUCUUAAUUACCACCCUCAUCACUGCCGGCAGGUUGGUCUCGGCCCAGUUUCCCAUUGAUCACUUCACACACAUCUUCAUCGAUGAGGCUGGCCACUGCAUGGAGCCUGAGAGUCUGGUAGCUAUAGCAGGGCUGAUGGAAAUAAAGGAAACAGGCGAUCCAGGAGGGCAGCUGGUGCUGGCAGGAGACCCUCGGCAGCUGGGGCCUGUGCUGCGUUCCCCACUGACCCAGAAGCAUGGACUGGGAUACUCACUGCUGGAGCGGCUGCUCACCUACAACUCCCUGUACAAGAAGGGCCCUGAUGGCUAUGACCCCCAGUUCAUAACCAAGCUGCUCCGCAACUACAGGUCUCAUCCCACCAUCCUGGACAUUCCUAACCAGCUCUAUUAUGAAGGGGAGCUGCAGGCCUGUGCUGAUGUCGUGGAUCGAGAACGCUUCUGCCGCUGGGCGGGCCUACCUCGACAGGGCUUUCCCAUCAUCUUUCACGGCGUAAUGGGCAAAGAUGAGCGUGAAGGCAACAGCCCAUCCUUCUUCAACCCUGAAGAGGCUGCCACAGUGACUUCUUACCUGAAGCUGCUCCUGGCCCCCUCCUCCAAGAAGGGCAAAGCCCGCCUGAGCCCUCGAAGCGUGGGCGUCAUCUCCCCAUACCGGAAACAGCUCCCUGGCCUCCUGCCAGGCUUCCUCUUGCAUUAGGUUAAUGGCACGAGAGAAAGGCACCUGUCCCCUCCUUCCAGGUGGAGAAAAUCCGUUACUGCAUCACCAAACUUGACAGGGAGCUUCGAGGACUGGAUGACAUCAAGGACUUGAAGGUGACACGCUGUUCCACACUCACUCCCUGUCUUCUGUGUGCCCCCACUUGCCCACUUCCAGAGACUUCCUCAAGCUUCCACUCCAGUCCAGCCCACGUCCCUGUCCCACCCCUGCUGCCUUGAAUAGAGCUUGAGCUCUCCCCAAGCCUCUCACUCCUGGAGAUUCCAACUUAAGGGUCUGGGAUGGGAUCAGGAAGCCUGCAUGUUUAACAAACACCUCCUGUCAUUCUUAGACUCAGGCAGGUUUGAGGCCUCUGCCCUAAGGAUAAAGUCCAAAUUCCGUGGCCUGUCAUGUGAUGCUGCCACCCCCACCCCCAGUAGCCUCUCUCUCUUAAGGUUCUGAUCUCAACACUGGCUGCAGAUAACAAUCACCUGGAGAGCUUUUAAUACCCCCGUGCCAGGGCCCCGCCCACCAGCUCAUACAGCUUUGGGGCAGAGCCAGGGCACUGGUAGUUUUUACAGCUUCUCAGGUGAUUCUAAUGUGCAGCCAGGGUUGAAAACACUGCUCUAAGAUUUAGAGUCCUCGCUCUUGGAAAUUCUGAUUGGGGGUCUGGGUUAGGGCCCAGGGUUGUAUAUUCUUAACAGAUACUUAGUGAUUAUUUUCAGUUUGAAAGUCACUGCUCUGAGUUCCCGUGUUCUUUGCAAUGCUGUUUUCUUUCCUUAGAACACUUUGCAGGCCCCAGCCCUCAGCAGGAUUCACCCUUCAGGUUUCAGCUUCCACAGCCUACCUCCCGUCCCCUUUCCCUGGGCCGUGUCGCAGCACUGGUUCACUCCACUUAUCUACAAUUGCCCAGUGACCUCUCUGUACCCUCCUUGGAAGGCAAGCUCCCUGGGGUAGGGCACCCCUUUGACACCCCUGGCUGGUCUCAGGCCCUGCCUCUUUCCCCACUAGGUGGGUUCAGUGGAAGAAUUCCAAGGCCAAGAACGAAGCGUCAUCCUCAUCUCCACCGUGCGAAGCAGCCAGAGCUUCGUGCAGCUGGAUCUGGACUUUAAUCUGGGUUUCCUUAAGAACCCCAAGAGGUUCAAUGUAGCUGUGACCCGGGCCAAGGCCCUGCUCAUCAUCGUGGGGAACCCCCUUCUCCUGGGCCAUGACCCUGACUGGAAAGUAUUCCUGGAGUUCUGUAAAGAAAACGGAGGGUAUACCGGGUGUCCCUUCCCUGCCAAACUGGACCUGCAACAGGGACAGAAUUUACUGCAAGGUCUGAGCAAGCUCAGCCCCUCUACCUCAGGGCCCCAUAGUCAUGACUACCUCCCCCAGGAGCGGGAGGGUGAAGGGGGCCUGUCUCUGCAAGUGGAGCCAGAGUGGAGGAAUGAGCUCUGAAGACACAGCACCCAGCCUUCUUGCACCAGCCAAGCCUUAACUGCCUGCCUGACCCUGAACCAGAACCCAGCUGAGCUGCCCCUCCAAGGGACAGGAAGGCUGGGGGAGGGAGUUUACAACCCAAGCCAUUCCACCCCCUCCCCUGUUGGGGAGAAUGACACAUCAAGCUGCUAACAAUUGGGGGAAGGGGGAGGAAGAAAACUCUGAAAACAAAAUCUUGUUCUAUGCAAAA